GGCACAGAAGAAAAAGUAAAACUAAAUUGAAGGACUGAUGCUACCUGACUUCAAGACUUACUGUAAAGCUGCAGUAAUCAGGACAGUGUGGUA